rnacentral:lncRNA from 1 species
AAAGCCAAAAAAAUGGAGGAGAAAGCUCUAACGACGGAGCCAAUUCUGGAUCCAAGACGGAAGAUUGAAGAAAUUCAGAGGCUAGGGUUUGAAAGAGGGGGUGAAUUAGGGUUAAAGGAGGAGAUAGGUUAAGAAAUGAGGGAGGACAAUAAAGGUUUGGGAAAAGGGUCGGAGAGCUAGCUUCAUGCUUCGGGCGGGGAAAAAAGACAAAGAAUUGGGGUUUUU